rnacentral:rRNA from 1 species
CCGGCGACCGGCGCACGGGUGAGUAACACGUAUGCAACCUGCCCUCUUCAGGGGGACAACCUUCCGAAAGGGAGGCUAAUCCCGCGUAUAUCGGUUUCGGGCAUCCGAGAUCGAGGAAAGAUUCAUCGGAAGAGGAUGGGCAUGCGGCGCAUUAGCUAGACGGCGGGGUAACGGCUCACCGUGGCGACGAUGCGUAGGGGUUCUGAGAGGAAGGUCCCCCACACUGGUACUGAGACACGGACCAGACUCCUACGGGAGGCAGCAG